rnacentral:rRNA from 1 species
CGCGUAGGCGGUUUGUUAAGUCAGCUGUGAAAGCCCCGGGCUCAACCUGGGAACUGCAGUUGAUACUGGCCGACUAGAGUACGAGAGAGGGAGGUAGAAUUCCACGUGUAGCGGUGAAAUGCGUAGAUAUGUGGAGGAAUACCAGUGGCGAAGGCGGCUUCCUGGACCAAUACUGACGCUGAGGUGCGAAAGCGUGGGGAGCAAACA